rnacentral:rRNA from 1 species
CAGCAGCCGCGGUAAUACGUAGGUGGCAAGCGUUGUCCGGAAUUAUUGGGCGUAAAGGGCUCGCAGGCGGUUUCUUAAGUCUGAUGUGAAAGCCCCCGGCUCAACCGGGGAGGGUCAUUGGAAACUGGGAAACUUGAGUGCAGAAGAGGAGAGUGGAAUUCCACGUGUAGCGGUGAAAUGCGUAGAGAUGUGGAGGAACACCAGUGGCGAAGGCGACUCUCUGGUCUGUAACUGACGCUGAGGAGCGAAAGCGUGGGGAGCGAACAGGAUUAGAUACCCCUGUAGUCCCUGUCUCUUAUAU